rnacentral:rRNA from 1 species
GGGGAAUUUUGCACAAUGGGCGGAAGCCUGAUGCAGCGACGCCGCGUGAGGGAUGACGGCUUUCGGGUUGUAAACCUCUUUUAUCCGCGACGAAGGCUCCGUUUUUCGGGGUUGACGGUAGUGGUUGAAUAAGCGCCGGCUAACUACGUGCCAGCAGCCGCGGUAAGACGUAGGGCGCGA